rnacentral:rRNA from 1 species
UGGGGAAUAUUGCACAAUGGACGGAAGUUUGAUGCAGCGACGCCGCGUGGAGGGUGUAGGCCUUCGGGUUGUGAACUCCUUUUUUUCGCGAAAAAGGCACAGUUUUGGCUGUGUUGAUGGUAGUGGGGGAAGAAGCGCCGGCUAACUACGUGCCAGCAGCCGCGGUAAUACGUAGGGCGCGAGCGUUGUCCGGAUUUAUUGGGCGUAAAGAGCUUGUAGGCGGUUUGUCGCGUCGAUAGUGCAAACUCAGUGCUUAACGCUGAGCCUGCUGUUGAUACGGGCAGACUAGAGGAAGGUAGGGGAGAAUGGAAUUCCCGGUGGAGCGGUGGAAUGCGCAGAUAUCGGGAGGAACACCGGUGGCGAAGGCGGUUCUCUGGGCCUUUCCUGACGCUGAGAAGCGAAAGCGUGGGGAGCGAACAGG